GGUAAAAUGGCUGAAUUAUAGGUGAUAGAUUGUAAAUCUAUUUAUGGGAAUGAAUCUCUUUUACU
rnacentral:tRNA from 1 species